GGAAGGAUGUGGUUUUAGAGCCAGGAUUGCUUUUGACACAUUGACCACUAGAUCAUUGAUUAAGGUGAUUGAUGGUGGGGACUUGUGGAUGCAUGACCAGAUAAGAGAUAUGGGAAGACAGAUUGUUAGGCAAGAAGGCUUUUCCGAUCCUGGAAAGCGCAGCAGGCUCUGGGAUGUUGCUGAUGUUUUGAGUGUGCUACAAGGAAGAAAGGUAUGACUUUCUUUAUGAAUUUAACUUAUACACUACGCCCGUAAAUUCUUAUAUUGUCAGCAUUUUCUAACCUGUCUUGUUUUCCCUAAACAGAUCCUUCUUUUUACGAACAGUUACCUGUAGUCAUAUUAGGUGACCAUAAAGAAGUUAACGUCCUUUUGUUAUGUUCUACAAGAACUUCCAGCUGCUUUCUUCUGAUUAUUUUG
rnacentral:misc_RNA from 1 species